CCUACGGGGUGCUGCAGUGGGGAAUAUUGCACAAUGGGCGCAAGCCUGAUGCAGCCAUGCCGCGUGUGUGAAGAAGGCCUUCGGGUUGUAAAGCACUUUCAGCGGGGAGGAAGGCGGUGAGGUUAAUAACCUCAUCGAUUGACGUUACCCGCAGAAGAAGCACCGGCUAACUCCGUGCCAGCAGCCGCGGUAAUACGGAGGGUGCAAGCGUUAAUCGGAAUUACUGGGCGUAAAGCGCACGCAGGCGGUCUGUCAAGUCGGAUGUGAAAUCCCCGGGCUCAACCUGGGAGCUGCAUUCGAAACUGGCAGGCUAGAGUCUUGUAGAGGGGGGUAGAAUUCCAGGUGUAGCGGUGAAAUGCGUAGAGAUCUGGAGGAAUACCGGUGGCGAAGGCGGCCCCCUGGACAAAGACUGACGCUCAGGUGCGAAAGCGUGGGGAGCAAACAGGAUUAGAUACCCGGGUAGUC
rnacentral:rRNA from 1 species